rnacentral:rRNA from 1 species
UACGUAGGGGGCAAGCGUUGUCCGGAUUUACUGGGCGUAAAGAGCGUGUAGGCGGCCAAGCAGGUCCGUUGUGAAAACUGGAGGCUUAACCUCCAGACGUCGACGGAAACCGCGUGGCUAGAGUCCGGAAGAGGAGAGUGGGAAUUCCUGGUGUAGCGGUGAAAUGCGCAGAUAUCAGGAAGAACACCAAUGGCGAAGGCAGCUCUCUGGGACGGUACUGACGCUGAGACGCGAAAGCGUGGGGAGCGAACAGG